AGCAAUUAUAUGGUGAUGUAACAAGGAACCCAUGUUAUCACAUGGGAGCAACUGCACAUGCAACUAGCAAGGCUAUCAAAUGGUUAAGCAAGCGGUAACAUAGCCAGACAGUGGUUUGCUAGGAUGUGGAAAGAUUCAAGGUUAUCAUGGCAAUGUUGGAUGGCUUAUUAAACAGGUGGUAAGCAGCAAGACAUAACGAAAGAAAUGAGACAACUAGCAUGGCAUUGAUAGUAAUGGUAUCUAGGGAAAUGAUCAUCUUGCCUAUGAUCCCGCUUGGAAGAAGAACGACUCCUUGGAACAGACGAACCGACGUAGAGUCAAACGGAUCCUCACACUCCGAAGCGGUUCGAACACUAUCGAGAAGAAGCAAACCUGUCACAACCCUAGAUUAUAGCUUGUAGUAAGUUGCAUCAGUAAGCGUUCAUGAAUGCAUUCAAAUCAAUUUAAUUCAAAUUUGGAUGAUCUACAAAUGGGGAUGA
rnacentral:lncRNA from 1 species